UAAUGGCAGGUCAGCAUACUGCCGUGAAUACGUUCCCGGGCCUUGUACACACCGCCCGUCACACCAUGAGAGUUGGAAAUACCCGAAGCCUGUGAGCUAACUUAAAGAGGCAGCAGUCGAAGGUAGAGCCAAUGAUUGGGGUGAAGUCGUAACAAGGUAGC
rnacentral:rRNA from 1 species